rnacentral:hammerhead_ribozyme from 1 species
GUACUGAUGAAGAGUCCAGAACUAGGACGAAACGGCUGGCUGUCCAGUAC